CCGGUAGAAAUAAGUCACAAGCUUCUAAGAAUUUAUUCUCUAUGUCUCUAUAUAUCAGAGUCUAAAGAAAAUAAGGAAGACAACAUAGUAAGAUAGAAGGGGACUCUGGAGUCUGCGGACGCUAGCAGAUAUACCUCGAAGUCUCCUCGUACAGCUAGUUAAUGAUGCCUGGUCUGAUAAGAUGUACCUGGAUCUGCACAAAAAGAUGUACAGAAGCGUAGUAUGAGUACACAACAGCGGUACCUAGUAAGUGCCAAGCCUAACCUCGGUAGAGUAGUGACGAGGUCAAGUCAAGCCCUACUGGAGAAUAAAUAAUGACAUGGUAAAAUGUUUAAACAAUAUAAUAAGAUAAAAUGACAAUGGAAAUGAUUCAAGUAGUAUGUCACAUUUAAUUACACCAAAUAAUUGCAAUUAAUAUCUCGUGGAAACAAAACAAACUUUCCUUUCAACUUCAAGAAAUCACAACAAAUAAUCAAAGGCAACUGCGGCCAUAAAUCAAUAUCAACAAGGGCACUCUCGAGGUACCGCCUUGUAGUCCCAAAUCAUAAAUAAAUUCACAAUAUCUCAUUUUCCUUAUCUCACUGCGGGAGCCUUCAUAAUUUAUUUUAAAGAAAAUAUUUUUCCCGAAAUAGCAUCUCGCGUUUUAGCCAUCCUUAUCGCACUGUAUGACUUCUAGUAGUUUUCCCUACUAGCCACGCUUAUCAAGCCACCCUUAUCUCAUCGCAUGCGUUUCAAUACCCAGACCUUAUACCACCGCAUGCGUAUCAAUAUCACAAUAUAUCACAAUUUGCACCUCAAGUGCCCAAAUAUUUCAAUUUGCCAAAAUAAAUCAACGAUAUUUUCCACAAUAAAGAGUUCACGACUCAUGCCAACAUAAAUCAUCAAUAAUAUUUUAAAUCUUUAAUACGUUGCUUCAAUACCAAAUUUAAAAUGUCAAAUACUUCAUAUUAAUAAUAUUUAAUUUUAAAAAAUCAAUUUCAAAUAAUGCACAAAAUAAAAAAAACAAAUUUCAACCAAAAAGGUAAAACAAUUAGCAGGAAAAGGUCAAGCAAAUUUAAAGUAUACAAAUCAAAUCAAUGAUGAAGAAUAUAACAAGAUAAAAUAAUUUAAUAAAUGCGCAACAAUGAUCUACACAAUUUUAAAAUAUAAUCUUUCACAUUUAGCCUGUGUACACACUCGUCACCUCGUGUACACGACUUUCAAUACAUUUCAAUAAUCACAUUAAUAUCAAUUCUAGGGGAAAUUUCUCCCACACNNNNNNNNNNNNNNNNNNNNNNNNNAAAGUUAGAUAAGUCACUUACCUCGACUUGCUCCAAUUUAACCAAUUAGUAUGCUUUUUCCUUGAUUUUCCGAUUCCGGUCGACUCGUAUCUAGUCAUAAUUAAUUCGAUACAGUCAACAAAAAUUAUAGAAUCAAUUUCAUAAGAAAAUACUAUAUUUCUUUUCAACAAAAUCCGAGAUUAACUCAAAAAUGGCAUGUGGGGCCCACGUCUCGGAAUCUGGUAAAAGUUACGAAAUAUGAACGCUCAUUCAACUACGAGUCCAACCAUACCAUUUUUACAAAAAUCGGACAUCACUUGAACUCCAAAUCUCAAAUUCUUUUGAAAUCCCUAGGCCCAAAUCCUCUAAUUUCACCUCAAAAACAUGUAAUCUAUUCGAAAUAUUCAAUAAUAACCCAAUAUAAUUGACUAACAAUGAUCAUAUGUGACUUACCUCAAGUUUCCCUUGAAUUCUCUCUCAAAAUCACCCCAAAAACCGUGCUUGAAGGUCCAAAAAUGGCAAAACUCGGAACUCCCUCUGUUUUUAACAUUCUGUCCAGGAUUUUCGCAUCCGCGGUGAUUUCUUCACACCUGCGGUCUUCGCAUCCGCGGUGAUUUCUUCGCACCCGCGAUGACUGUUUUUGCACCCACGGUCUUCACACCCGCGGUGAGUUUUUCGCACCCGCGGUGCCUGGAUAGCCCAUGCAUUUUCGCUUCUGCGAAUCAUUCCCCGCAUCUGCAAGCUCGCACCUGCUGCCCUUUUUUGCGCUGGUGCGAUCACACCAGCAGCCCAGCUGCUUCAGCUCCUCCUCCAAAUCCAAAUUCGAUCCGUUAAGUAUCUGAAACUCAACCGAGGCCCUCGGAACCCCGUCCGAACAUACCAACAAGUUCCAUAACAUAACACGGACCUACUCGAGGCCUCAAAUCAUAUCAAACAACAUCAAAACGACGAGUCGCACCUCAAAUAAAAAUCUAUGAACUUUGAACUUUCAAAUUCUAUAUCUUGUGCCGAAAUACAUCAAAUCAAUCCGGAAUGACUUCAAAUUUUGCACACAAGUCAUAAAUGACAUAACGAAGCUAUUCCAAUUUACAGAAUCAGAUUCCGACUUCGAUAUCAAAAACUCAACACCCCGGUCAAAUUUUCCAAAAAUUCAACUUUCGGCAUUUCAAGUCUAAUUCCACUACGGACUUCCAAAUAAAAUUUCGAUCACGCUCCUAAGUCCAAAAUACCAUAAGGAGUUGUUGGAAUCAUUAAAAUUCUAUUUCGGGGUCGUUAGCAAAUAAUUCGACAUCCGGCCACUAUUUGAACUUAAACUUUUAAUUUUUUAUUAAAUUCCAUAUCUCGGGCUAGGGACCUCGGAAUUUGAUUCCGGGCAUACGCCCAAGUCCCAAUUCACAAUACGGACCUACCAGAACUGUCAAACACUGAUCCGAGUCUGUUUGCUCAAAAUGUUGACCAAAGUCAACUCAAUUGAGUUUUAAUGCUCUAAUUCACAUUUUAAUCCAUUUUUUUCAUCUGAAAACUUUUCGGUAAAUUUUACGGACUAUGCACGCAAGUCGAGGAAUGAUAAAUAAUAUUUUUUGAGGUCUUAGAAUACAUAAUUAAUUAUUAAAUUUAAAGAUGACAUUUUGGGUCAUCAUAAUCACAUGUGCGAAAGCACUGGCAGUGUUAAAACGUGGAGCCAAGUGUUAAAGCGCAGAUGCGGCCAAGUGCAUCGCAGGUGCAUCUCAUUUUUUGGACUUCAAACACACGGUUUGGGCGAUAUUUCAGAGGAAUUUCAUAGGAAAACUUGAGGUAAGUCACUUGUGAUCAUUGUUAGUCAAUAAUAUUGAAUUAUAAUCGAAUAAUCAGACUAGAUUACGUGUUUUUGAGGUGUAAAUCGGGAAUUUAGACCUAGGGAUUUGAAAAUAAGAUUUGAUGAUUUGGAGACCGAGUUGAUGUCGGAGUUUAGUAAAAAUUAUAUGGUUGGACUCGUGGUUGAAUGGGUGUUCGUAUUUGGUAACUUUUAUCGGCUUCCGAUACGUGGGUCCCACGUGCAAGUUUUGGAUUAAAUAUCGAAUUUUGUUAGAAAAUUUGUAUUUUCUUAUGGAAUUUAUUCCUAUAAUUUGUAUUGAUUCAAUCGAAUUAAUUAUCACUAGAUUCGAGCCGAUUAGAGUCGGAAAAUCGAGGAAAAGAUACUACUUGACAGAUUGAGCGCGGUUUGAGGUAAGUGACUUGUCUAACUUUGUGGGGGGAAAUUUCCCUUAGGAUUGGUAUUGAUGUGAUAAUUGUAAUGUAUUGAAAGUCGUGUACGCGAGGUGACGAGUGUGUACACAGACUAAAUGUGGAAGGCUAUGUCUUUAAAUUGUGUACAUCACUGUUGCAUAUUAAUUAAGUUCUUUUAUCAUGUCAUAUUCAUCAUCAUUGAUCUAUUUUUAUAUUUUUAAAAUUUGCCUGACAUUUUCUUGUUAAUUGCUUUACUUGUUUAGUUAAAACUUUGUUUCUUUUAUUUUGUGCAUUAAUCGAAGGUUGAAUUUAUUAAUUGAAUUAUUAUUAAUAUGAAGUAUUUGACAUUUUUAAAUUUGGAUUGAGGCAACGUGUUAUAAACAUUGUGAAAUAUUAUUUUUGCUGAGUUAUUCAUUCCCGAAUAGUUUUUGAGAUUUUGUAUACUCAUUGUGAAUGAGUCGUGAGCUAAUUAUUCUGGAAGAAUAUUAUUGUUGAUUUAUUUUAGAAAGUUGAAAUAUUUGGGCACUUUAGGUGCAAAUUAUUAUAUAUUGUGAUGUUGAUACGCAUGCGGUGGUAUAAGGUCUGGGUUGAAACGCAUGCGGUGAGAUCAAGGCUAAAACAGGGAUACUAUUUCGAAAAAAAUGAUUUCUUUAAAAUUUAAAAUGUGAAGGCUCCCGUAGUGAUAUAAGAAAAUGAGAUAUUGUGAAUUUAUUUAUAAUUUAGGACUACGAGGCGGUACCUCGGGAGUGACCUUGUUGAUGUUUCUUUAUAGCUGCAUUUUGACUUUGGUUAUUUUGGUGAUUUCUUUAUAGUCGUAAAAUUUUGUUUUCUUUCCGCGAGAUAUCAUUUUUCCUUAUUCCGCUGAAGUUAAAUUGUGAUAUACCACUUACUCGAUUCAUUCCCAUUGUCAUUUUGUUAUUAUUAUAUUGCUAAACUUUUCAUCCUGUCUUUUAUUAUUCCAGUAGGGCCUGACCUAACCUCGUCACUACUUUACCGAGGUUAGGCUUGGCACUUACUGGGUACCGCUGUGAUGUACUUAUACUAUGCUUAUGUACAUCAUUUUGUGCAGAUCCAGGUACUCCUUAUCAGUCCAGAUAUCAAUAAGCUACCUGUGUACAGAGACUUCGAGGAAUAUCUGCUAGCAUCCGCAGAUUCCGGAGUCCCCUUAUGUCUUAUUAUGUUGUUUUCUAUAUUUGUUUUAGACUUUGACAUAUAGAGACAUUGAGGAUAAAUUCUUAGAAGCUUGUGACUUAUUUCUACCGGGUUUUGGAAGUUGUAAUUAUUUAAGUUGUCGUUCUUAUUUAUUUCAGUUGUUAAGGAUUGAGUUUCAUAUUUAUAUUCAGUUAUUCCGCAUAAUUAAUAGGUUUACCUAGUCUUAGAGAUUAGGUACCAUCACACAUCCUACAGAGAGAAUUGAGGUCGUGACAACUAUAUUAUAAAGAGUCGACUCUUACAACGGGAUUAUCCUUUGUAGAUGCCUCCUAAUAAAUUGAAAUAAUAUUUCUAUGUCAUGCAUUAUUUUUCAAAUCAAGAGGCAUGAUACUGUUAGCAAUAAUAACAAAUGGUGUACCAACAAUGAUAUUAUUAUUAGACCACUCACUUUAGAUUUUAUAUACCUCUUCAAACAACCAAAAUAAUCAUCACAAAUAUAUCAAAGUAGAGCAAUGGUACUAAAUUUAUAAGGAAAGCAAAAUUGAUAACAUCGGAUAAAGCGCUUAUGGCUAAGUGUCAAGUGAUCGAAACAAUUGUCCGAAGUUCUGGAGAUAUAUUUAAUAUAAAUAAACCGUUUGGUGAAAAAUUAAUGGUUUGGAAGGUGAUUUUUGUCAAGUACUAUUAAUAGUUACAAAAUCGAUGAAAGCAAAGACUGUAAAAACUAGCUUGCCAAAAUUAUAUUUAUGGCCUCAAAUGAAAAGGAUUCAACUGACAAGAAAUAUAAAGUAAGAAUAGAUCCAUUAUUAAGUAAUUUCUUGCUUCGUGUCAGAAACGAAAAAAGAGUGUCUAAUAAAAGAGAUUUGGUUCUUCCAAAACACUUGAAAAAUAUUUAUAUCAAUAGAUUAAGAGCCCCUUUGGACAUAAGAAAUUUUUUCUUUUUUUCCAAAAAAAUUCAUUUUUUUCGAAAUCAGCGUUUGUUCAUAAAAUUUCCAAUUUUCACUUGAAGAUGCAUUUUGAAAAUUUUCGAAAAUUUAAAAAACUCCAAAAACUUGUUUUUCAAAAUUUUCACUCAAAUCACUCAUAAAACUUCAAAAAUAGCUCAAAAUUAUAUUCAUGUACAAACACAACUCUAAAUUUAAAUACCAUUUUUACUUGAAAAUUAUUUUUCCCAUAUUUGGGAAUUUUACAAUUCUUAUGUCCAAACGCACACUAAAAUGUAAUUUUGUGCAAAUUGCAUGAUAGAAAUUAAAAAGUCAUCUUAGCUAGCACAAAUUAAUAUGUUGAUCAACUAAAUAAAAGGUUGAUUAUGAAAUUUUAUGGUAAAAAUAAGAUAUACUUUAGUUUUUGACUCACCAGAAUAUGAUACAAAUAAUUACUACCCAGAAGACUACUUAAAUACUCUAAUACCAAGUGGCCUUCUACUACACAAGUUUGUUGUCAAGUUUAUUUUUUCUUAUGUAUGUUAGUGUCACCUAUAUGUAAUAGACUAAGUUAAAAUUUGUAACACCCCGAAAAUAUUUCUAAGUGUUUUAAGACCAUUAAGAAGAUUGGCGGGUGCUAAUUAUAUCUAUUCGGGUAUGAACAAGACUGGUAAUUUGAAUGAUAUCAAUUAAUCAUGAUAAUAUAUGUAUGAGGUACAUUAAAAAUGGUUUAGGGUCUAAGAAGAGCCCUAAGGUUAAGUCAAGUUGAAAAUUAUAUGAUGGGAUAAAGUUUCAAGUGAGUUUGCACAAGAUCUAACUUCAAACGAGCAUAACUCUCAAGAUAUGAAGAGUUAUAUGGUGUAUAAUCUAUCAAAUUAAAUCCCUUCGAGUAUAGUUUCUAAUACAUCAAACCGUUCGUCAUUGGGAGAUUUCUACAAGAAGUUAUAACCUUUUUACUAAAGAGUGACAGAACAGCUACGCGAGUCUUGUUUAGCCUAUGCAAUGCGUAGGCAAAAUCAGUAUGGAAGUGAAGGGGAGGGUUAAGUUGCGUAUCCAAUCUAUGUAGGCUAUGCAGCCAGCCUACGCAGCUCAUUUUCUAUAAAAUAAGGGAGGUUCGGGGAGUGAGAAAAAAGAUAACAUUUUUGGCUAAGUUUUGGGUUCUAGAGAGAAGGUGGAGUAUCCUCAACCCAAAUACACAUCAAAGGUGAAUUUUAUGAUAAUUUUAUAAUGGAUUAACACUAGUUAAUGGUAGUAUUAAUAUCUAUACGGAUUGAAAUCAAUAGGGAUUUCUCUAAUCUUCAAGAAUCAUUCAAAAGGGUUCAAGUUAGGGUUUGAUCUACAAGAGGUAAAUUCUCCACCCUACACUUAAAUACAACUAUGGAUUAAGUAUUUAGAAUGUAUUGUGAAGUAAAAAGUACCAACUGGUUGAAGAAUUAUGCUAGUCCUUGAAAUAGGUAUUGUGAGUUAGGGUUCUUGAAUGGAGAAGAAGAUGAAUAGUGAAUUUUUGAAUUUUGUUAGGAUGGUUGGUGAUUCUAGUACUUCAAUAGCUUAAUAAUGAUUAACUAUUGAAUCAUAUAACCUACAUUGGGGCUUAAAAGCCAAGGAUGAAAUUUAUUAAGGAUAAAAGGGAUAUGUAUGGGUGAAUUGGGCUUGUUGAAGACUUUAAUUGAAGAUUUAAGGGUCGAGUUGAUGUUGGAAUUUGGUGAAAUUUUAUGGUUGGACUCAUGGUUGGAUGAGCGUUAAUAUUUUAUAACUUUUGUCGGGUUCCGAGAUGUGGCACCCACGGGCGAUAUUUGGAUGAAAUUUUGGAUUUUUAUGGAAAAUUUGUAUUUUCAUAUGGAAUUAAUUCUUACAAUUUUUAUUGACUGAACCGGAUUAUUUGUGGCUAGAUUCGAGGUGUUUGGAGGCCAAUUCGCGAGGCAAAGGCAUAGCGGAAUAAGAAAUUACACGAUUUGAGGUUAGUAACCCUUUUAAAUUUGGUCCUGAGAGUAUGAAACCCCGGAUCAUAUGUUAUGUGAUUGGUUUUGAGGUGAUGCACAUGCUAGGUGGCGGGCGUGUAGGCGUGCACCAUAAGAAUUGUGACUUGGUCAAAUUCCACGGAACUGUGUAGGGUAAUUAUCUGUUGAUAUCCGUAAAUUCUCUACGUAUUAGGAAAAAUUGAGCUGAGACUUGUAUUAAAAAUUAUGCUUAGACAUAUGUUGUUAUUAUUGGUACCCACUGGGGUCAUUUUUGUGGUUUAAUUAUAUGUUCAAAUUAUAAUUUCACACUCAGUCAUGUUUAUUCAUUUCAUAUCAUAUCUCAGUCUCUGUUGCUAUUUAUGAAAACAUCAUAUUAUCAAUUUUGGAUUGAUUUUCAUGAUGUUUGAGAGCCCGAGAGACUGUAGAGGUUGAUGACUAAGUAAGUCGAGGGCUAAUUGUGAGGAUAUUUAUGGAUCGGGCUGCACGCCGAAGCAUGUUUUAUUGAUUUAUGCCAUGAUUGGCUUGAUAUAGCGCUUGGGCUGAAGGAGCCCCUCCAGAGUCUGUACACACCCCCAGUAAGCGCAGGUACCUACUAAUUGCGAGUGUCGAGUGCCGAGUGAUGAGUGACUGUGAGGAAUGAGUGACUAUGAGGAAAGAGUAAUUGUGAGGAAAGAGUGACUGUGAGGUUGGAGCGAAUGAGAGGACUGAGUAACUGUUACUCUGAGAGGAUGCAUUGAUUUCAUUAUUUGCUGCAUUUCAGCUGUCAUAUAUCAUUAUUUUGAAAGUUUCGGAAAAAUAUUAUUUUAUGUUUUCGGUCAAACUUGUAAUGAAAUUUCAGUGAAAUUUCAGUGAAAUCUUAAAUGUUGAACUUGAGAGCAUGCCUACCCUUUUAUGUUGGAAAGUACUGUAUUUGGACUUUUUUUUUGCUUGUCACUACUUUCAGUUCCUUAUUUAUUAUUGUUACUUGCUGAGUUGAUUGUACUAAUUCUACACCCUACACUUCGUGUGCAGAUCCAGGUGAUUCCGGACACAAUGGGUGUUGAUUAUUUCACAUAGUUGAUUUUCCGGAGAUUCAGAGGUAGCUGCUAUGUUUCGCAGACCUUGUCUCUCCUUCCCUACCCUUUUGUUUAUUGUAUUUGGUCUCGGAUUAUUAUAGACCGGGUUUUCCAAACUUGUAAUGUAUAGAUGCUCAUGUACUCAGUGACACCAGGUUUUGGGAGUGCAUUUAUAUCAGUAUGUGUUGGGGUUUCUCUUAAAUUAAUUAUUAUAUUUUCCGUAUUUAAAAGAAAUUGUGGUUUAUGGAGGUUGUCGGGUUGCCUAGUAUUAAGAUAGGCGCCAUCACGACAGGUGUGAUUUUGGAUCGUGACAAGUUGGUAUCAGAGCCUAGGUUACAUAGGUCUCACGAGUCAUGAGCAGGUUUAGUAGAGUCUUGCGGAUCAGUACGAAGAUGUCUGUACUUAUCUUCGAGAGACUGCUGAACCCUUAGGAAAAUUUCACUUUCUUGUAUUUUAUCGUACGAAAUUGAUUCAGCUUGAAACAUAAUUCUUUGAAUUCCUUCCACGCAUUCGUGUGCGCAUGUGGGCGCUCAGUAUCAGCUGUGUAUUGUUGGCUUGUGAUUCCAUGAAUGAGGUUCGAGAUGAGUAUUAUAUGCUUUGUUGAGGGGCCGGUCUGGAGGACUUGAGGCCGGAGUUAGACCGUAGCUUAUGAUCGGUAGUUUCGAUUGUGAGAACCAGUGCACUUGGACUUAUGUGUUCGACAGUAUUCCUAUGAGUGGAAUUUGUGGUUCGAUGAGCGGUUGAAUGACUAUAUGAUACAUAUGAUGUGAAUGCAGGAUGUGUUAAAAUGGAUUGAAUGAGACAAAUAAAUUUUACUUGUGACUCAAGAGUUUGCUAUUGGGUACUUGAUUCCUGUUUUGAUGUGACGUACAGUCUUGAGUUGUGAGUGCGUUGAGGGAUCUGUCAUGCUGUUUAAUUAUGGAGCGAAGUAGAUCUUCAUGUCGUGUUGAUGAGUUCAAGCUUAGAAAUAUUAAGUGAUUCCGUGGUAGUUGUGGAUGCGAAAGGGUAUAGCUAUAUGUCAAUUUGAGGCUAAGCAGGUAGGUUAUCUCUUGCGGAGUAAUCUACGUAGGUGUGUUCCUUGUAAUAUUGAGUGGAGAGUUUCUUUUCUACCAACUAGGCGUAUAUGUUGAGAUUUGAAUUUGAAUCCUGUUGAGAAAGUUGAUUUGACUGUCACGAGAAUAAAUGCGAACUUAGUGGAUGAUUGAGGUAUUUUAUGGUGAGUAUUGCGUAAGCUUGAGAAGAAUUUUCGUUGAACUGACUGCGGUAUUAUGGCAGUAAUAAAGUAUGAUAUUGUGAGUUAUGGAGUGUUUUGUUGUAUGGCUUUGAGCCAAGUGGGGGAGCCUGCUAUUGACAAUUCAAUUUCAUGGAUAUAUGUUAAAUUUUAAUUUUGGUUUGAGGCAUACUUGUGGGUUAGUUAUGACUUGCAGAGGUGGAGAUCGAGGAUGACUCGGGUAAGGAAAUUUCUGAAUACGGGUUACAUUGUACUUUAUGAAAAUAUAUAAAUUAUGGAAUGAUUAAGUUGUUAUUUUGAAGGAUGUAGUGCGCACGAAUUAUGAAUUUGAUUGGUCGUGUUAAGGCAAGGUUACUUCUUUGAGUGUUGAGUAUGCUAAAGUAACACGUGUCUUUCGGCCCGUUUGGGCAGAGAAAAUUAGAUUUGAACAGAGUGGAUGACUCUCGAGAGGGUUCUAAUGGAUUCAAAAUAUAUAUGUGGCAAUUGAAAAGUUUUUGAAUUUGUAUAUCACUAGAAUCGGUUACUUACACUGGAUAGUAUCGAGAAGUGCGAUGAUUUUGUUUGACUAUGGAUUUUACAUUUCAAUAUAAGAAAGGAAAGAGGAAUAAUUUUAAAUUCAAAUAAGGUCCUUAAGAGUGGGUGUCUCAGUUGUGGUAUUUAUGGAGGUGCUUAAGAAGAAUAUAGUGGGCUUUGGGUAAGGAUCGUAGUGUUCUGACAAGGAGAAGUGUCAACUUGAGGGUAAUUUAAAAGAAACUCAAAGAAAAUAGGACAACUGGGUAGUAGGCUAGACCAGUAUGGUAAGGGUAUGUUCGGUUCUUUUGGGAUAAUUAUAAUGUGGUGAGACUUUACAGAUAUUUCGGUGGCAAUAUUCUUGGGUUUGGUGACCUGCGUGGAUUGGUCGAGUUAGAGAAAUUCGGUUUUGAUAGCUUGGUUAUGUGCAAAUGGAUUUGAAAGUGUUCUUGAUGGUUUCUACCGUGGUUUGAACAAGAUAUUUAUACUCGUGUGGGAGACAUGUUGUGCAUUGUGAAUUCCUCAUGGAUGAGAGGAAAUGGAAGGUUUCUAAUUGAUCGGGUAUGUAAUAUGCUUGUGACUCAGAGUUAAUAAAGAGAUUCUCAUGCUUGUCACAUGAUGGCAUAAUAGAUGUGGUGUGUUGUGCGGGAUUAAGACUUACAUGUACAAGGCGACAGUUCAUUCUGGAAAGCAAAACCACGAAUUAUGGACAGAAUGGUCAAUUUUAGAUGUUUAGACGGAUAUUAUAACUACUCGGUAAUCCCUGAGAAGGGUGUGCAUUUCAAAAGAGGCAUUGUGUUUUGACUUUCAGAUGUCAUUGGUAUUGCGAUACUCACAUGGUUAAUAGACUGUUGAUAUUCCAAUUAUUACUAUGUGGCAUGGGAGGAAAUGUGGAAGUAAUCCUCAUGGGAUGAUUGUGCGUGAAAGAUGUGUUAGUCAUUUGAGUGCUGGAGUUGAGACGAGUCACAGUGAUUCCUGUGUUCUAUGAAUGUGGAGACUGGGGGUUCUUAGAAGCAUAUUGUUUCAGGGUUGCGGCCUAUUUGAGGUGAGUAUUUUAUUUUAACUCAGUGGAGGCACUAAUUGCCUUUGUGAUGACUAUGCACUACGAGUGCGUAUAUAUAUAUAUGUGAGGUUUGAGCCCAUGUGCGGGCAUCGGGGCAAGUAUUCAGACUCGGGAAAAUGUUUAGACUAUGAUAUACCUAGAGUUGACGGUUAAGCAUAAAGUUAUGACGUUUCUCGUAUUUGUACCUUUGUUGAGAACCAUCCGGGCUAUACUUGAGGUUACAAAGAGGCUAAUUCCUUGAAUAAACUGGGUAUUUGCUAUUUCUGCAUUCACUUGCCGAUUUGAGUUGUGAUAGCGUACUUUGCACAUGCCUACUCUAUGGCAUGUUAUUUAUACCAGUCGAGGAGCAUGUGAAUUUUAUUUCAUUUAUCAUAGAAAUAUGUACUUAUUUGGUUGCUCCUAUAUGAUAUGCUUGGACUGGAGGCCUGCGACCAUGCCAGGCGGAUUAUGUUAUUGACACGUGAGUUGUCCGUGCGGAUCAAUAUAUUGAUACGAUAGCACGUGAGUUGUCGGUGCGGGUUGAUCUUAAUGUGAGCUCUAGGAGAGCUGGUUACCGUUAUUAGAUUCGUGUGUCUUGAUUUUGCCAUGUAUGGUGAGCUCAAAGCAUGUCAGUUGUAGAAGUGCUUGUUGAACUUGCGAAAGGGUUAUCUUCUUUGAAACAUUUUUUCCAUUUUUGGGUACACGGAUUACGCAGUUUGCGGAUUGGAUUAGAUUGGUGUGGAUGUGAGAUUCGGGUCUUGAAAAGAAUUCUGGAUGUUAGAAAUGAGGCUUCAAGGUUUUUGGGCUAAGGUUAAAUUAAUGAUUUUCAGUUAUGUUGUGAUGACGUGGGAUCACCCCCGGGUAUGUGCGUGGUAAGGUGAAAUAGUGAUUCAAAAGUUUAGGAACAACUCUUAGCACGCAGUUUACAUCACAGUUUUGGAGGGAAGUACAACGAGAAUUAGGUACACAGGAACAUCUGGAUAUGCACGAACAACUCACGUUCUAUAGUAUCAAUAUUUUACAAUCACGCCCUCGGCCUCACUCAGUCAUAAAUCUCUCUAGUAUCUCGGGCUCUCAGUAAUCAUGAAAAUCGGCCCAAAAAUGAUGAUAUGAUGUAUCAAUAAAUAGCAACAGAGACUGAGAUAUGAUAUGAAAUGAAUGCACAUGGCUGAGUGUAAAAUUACAAUUUAAACAAUUAAUUUAACAGCAAUAUGACCUUUAUAGUUCUCAAUAAUACUGGCAUAUAGCCUCAGCAUGAUUUUUAACAUGAUUCUUGGCUCAAUUUCUUUAACACAUAAAAGUACAUUGACAAUGUCAAGAUUAUUUGACUAUACAGUUCCAUAAAAUUUGAUCAAGUCAAAAUUUCUACGGUGCACGCCCACACGCCUGUCACCUAGCGUGUGCGUCACCUCAAAAUCAAUCACAUAACAGAAAAAUCUGGGGUUUCAUACCCUCAAAACUAAAUUUAGAACUGUUACUUACCUCGAACUGUGUAAUUCUUUACUAUGCUAUGCCUUUGCCUCGCGAAUCGGCCUCCGAACCCCUCAAAUCUAGCCACGGUUAAUUCAAUUCAGUCAAUACUAUUUAUAGGAAUUAAUAUCAUUUGAAAAUACUAAUUUUAUAACAAAAUCCGAAAUUUAACUCAAAAACCGCUCGUGGGGCCCACGUCUCGAAAUCCGACGAAACUCACAAAAUUCGAUAACCCAUUCAAUUACGAGUUCAACCAUACUAAUUUUAUCAAAUUCCGAUAAUAACUCGACCUCCAAAUCUAAAAUUUUCAUUCUUGAAAAGUUUUGCAAAAACCUUGAUUUCUCCCAUUUAAAUCUGAAAUAAAUGAUGAAUAUAACCAUGAAUUUAUGAAAUAUAAUCACUUAUGGAUAUAGGACAUUAACCCAAGUUGAAGUCGUGAAGAAAUCCUCAAAAUCGCCCAACAACCGUGCUCCAAAAAUCCAAAACGAAAUGAAGGAAAUGACCAUUUCUGGUCCUUAAGUUUCUGCCCAUCCGUCACUAAAAGUCCAUUUUCCGUCACUAAAAAUCCAUUUUUUCCAUCACUAAAAGUCCACACCAGAACUUGCUUGCACCAAUAUUUAUUUCUUUCACUAAAAAGGCUCUAACUCCAUCAUACGAACUCGGAAUUCGACGAUUCUUAUUUCUAUGAGUCACAAAUAAUAAUACGAACCUAGUCAUUUAAUCAAAACUCAAUUCGGAGCUCAUUUGCUCAAUGCGAUACCAAUUUCGUUCGUUAAACAAUUAACUCAUGUUUAGCACUAAAAACCUAAUCACGACUUGAUGAAAUUAGACCAAACUUUCCAGAUCACUCCUAUAAUUCAUUAUCAAAAUCUCGGAAGUCUCAAAAUCAAAUUUCGAUCUCUAAAACUAAAAAUGGACCUUUGGAUCAUUAUAUGCUUCUGCUCAAAAUACUAAACUCUUCCAAAAAUUCUUCCAAAACUCAUUCGAGACCCACGGGACCCCAACCAAGUAUACUAACAAGUCCCAUAAUAUGGAACGAACUUAGUCGAUGCCUCAAAUUAUAUUGAACAAUGCUAAAACACGAAUCACACCCCAAUUCAAGCCAAUUCAAAACUAACAAAUUUCAAAUUCUACAUUCGAUACCGAAACCUAUAAAAUCAAUUCUGAUUGACCUCAAAUUUUGCACACAAGUCAUAAUAUAACAGAGUUGUUCCAAUUUUCAGAAUCAUAUUUCGAUCCCAUUAUCAAAAGGUCAACUCUCCGAUCAAACUUUCAAACUUAAAUUUCCUAUUUUCGCCAUUUCAAGCCUAAUUUAGCUACGGACCUCAAAAUAAAUAUUCGAACAUACUCCUUAAUCCAAAAUCACCAUACGGAGCUAUUGAUAUCAUCAGAAUUACAUUCUGGGGUCGUUUACACAUAAUUCACCAUCUAUUCAAUUAUUUCAACUUAAGCUUCCAAAACAAGAAUUGUCCUUUCAAUAAAAUCCCGAAUGAUCUGAAAACCAAACUUGACCACCCUCGCAAGUCAUAAUACACAUUUCAAAGCUACUCGAGACCUUAAGCUAUAGAACGGAAUGCUAAUUCUCAAAAUAACAAGUCGGAUCGUUACAGUAAUUCCUUAAUACCUGCAAUGUUUUGCUGCAUCGGCAUGAGCUAGUAUGAGGAAGAGGAUUUGUUGGCUUCAGAUUUGAUUCCCCCACUGCUCUGAGUAGGGAUGAACUCUGGUGCUUUGUCUUUCUUAAGCCAAGUUCCCUCAAUCAAGGUAUACCCCAUCAUGGCAAUGGCAGUCUUAUUAUAGGUGCUGGAGAUAGUCUUGGGAGCAUAGAGAGAUAAAUCCACUUUCAUGACUUUCAGGAUGUGAGAGAUUAGUAAACCAUAGGACAAGCUGCUCGCAGAAGAUGAAGCAUCCCUGAUACUUUCAAGCAUGUAUUGACGUACCCAGGCAAACCAGUUGAUAGCUUUACCAUUCACCAAACAAUACAAAACAAUAUAUCUCUGAGCGACAGAGUACUCAGAGAACCAGUACGAGGUAGAAAAGUGGUUGCAAUAAUACGGGCUAGAACACGAUGUUCAAAUUUCAAGUUCUUUGGUCUUAUAUCGAGGGGGGGUUCAAACAAUACACUCUUGGCCUCUUCAAAAGAUACUUCAAAAUUGUCUGGCCACGAAUGUUGCACAAAAAAGUUGUAUCCAAUAAACUUUGUAGAAAAGAUUUUCUCAAACUGAUAAGAAUCAAGAAUAAUACGAGUUCCUAAGACCAUGGAUUCUACAUCGUCUUUAUCAUUCUCAAAAAGAUUUGCAUAAGGCAUACACACAGGUUCUUCAUAGACAGUAUUACCAACAGUAGCAAAUAGAGAGAGAAGUUUCUGAGUUUAAAAAAUAGAGAGAAUAUCACAGUGAGAGUUUUGCAUAGACUUUAAAAUUACAGUGCGACCAAAAGUAAUCGACUUUCCUUUGAAGGCCACAAACCUAGUCUUCUCUUCAAGGCCAUAGAAAUUCAUCUUGUCUUAAGGACCAAACUCUAUACUUUCAGUUUUUUCCUUUUUUUGAGACGAUUGUUUGGGGAUGGACUCCAUUGGUCAUUUUCCCACCCUCUUUUGGGAGAUAAGAAUGUCUUCAUGAAAACCACUCGAACCGUUUUCUAUCAAUAAAUGAUCUGUGCUUUCGGAGGAUUCAAUAUCAACAAGGUCAUUUCUUGAACCGGUGACUUCUUCUGGGUGUGGAAGAGGAAGGAGAGGGUGUGAUUUUAGCCAUGAGUAGAAAAAGACAGAUAGAUAGAAGUUUGGUUUCUUCGAGAGAAUGGGAGAUAUAAUCGAAGGAAGAGGGGUUAAAAAGGAUUAGAGAGGUCGCUUCGAUUCCCGAAGAGACGUAUGAAAGGCAACUGAAAAGUUGCCUUCUGCAAAACCCCACCGUCAGUUCACAAUAAAUGCAAGCGUAGACUAAUCAAGUACCUAAAAGGUUUUUUGGACACAAAUAACAAGAUAUAUGGAAAUAAACUAAAGUAAUUAUGGAAAAUACUAAACACAGUUAUGAGGGAAUUGUACAUAUACCAAUUUUGUUCCGAAGGAAAAAAAAAAAAAAUUCAAGUAAAGGUUUUGUAAAACUGUCACACCCUUUUUUUACUUUAACUACCCCUCUUUAAAAUAAAUAAAGUAGUUUUGUAAAGCUCAAAAGGGUUUUUCAAAAUUGAAAAGUGACAAAAAAUAUUUGUUUAAAAGAGUUUUUCUCAAAGUCGUCACUUGGCAUAUAAUCUCGGUGUGCCAAGUCACCAUUUAAAAGCAAAUUUUCCCUUAAAAAUAUAUUUGACUCUAAACCGGUUUGCACCAGAGAUUCUAGAUAAGGGGGUUCAUUUGACUCGGGAGAAAGUGUUAGGCAUUCCCCGAGUCCCGUGAAAAUCACGGUUGCAUACAUGAUCUAAUUAGCUAUAAAGAAUACUUAAACUGAGGCAACAACACACGAAAGAAAAAUAAACACAAAAGAGGCUCGAGGUCAUCCUCAUCUAAAUAAAAUAAAAUAAGAGGAAAUACUAAAAGUCUAUACUAUGCUCACUCCACGAUGUCCGUCACAGCCUCCAAUUACAUUCACUACGGGGCAUACCCCGAAUAAAAAUAUAUACAAAAUCCACGGGGCAUUUCACUAAAUAUAAACUAAAGGGAACGACCUCUCACCUCAAAUAAAAAUGGAAUAAAGGACCUAAGGUUUGCCUACUCAUGCGUGGUCGGCCUAAGCAUGCUACCAGCGAUAAGCAACAAAUAAAAGUAAUAAAAACAUUUCAAAUCCAAAUUGGCAUUUACGUUUAAGCCUGAAUCCUUCAAUCUAAUCCUACGGUUCACUAAAUAUUUAAAGCAAUUCAAGCUCAAUCCCCACAACCCUUUUCACAACAAAUUUCACUAAACUAUAAUCUCAUGUCCAAUAUCUGUUCACAAAUAUAUUCCACACAAAAACUUACAGACAACUCGCACUACAAUUCCAAUCAAGUGACUCAAAAUAAUGUCAAUCCCGAAUAACACGAUUAAAGAGAAGUGGGAUAAACAUGAUGUUAGCCUACUAAAUCUAAAGCUAACUGCAUAUUCUAAAAGGUAAUUAAUCUUAUGAAACCGGAUCUGUUAUUAAUUCUAUUCAAUUGCGUCUAUUACAUAUAUGACUAAACUAAUUUUAUACCUUAACACCAAUUGACAUUAAAAUAUUAACUAAAAAUAAAAACUCCAAGUUCAACAUAAUUGACUCUACGUCUCCAGACUUGUUAACUUAAAGACUAUUUCUUAGAUUUAUGAAACAAAAGAGAAUUUAUUCACUUAGAAUGGAGGAUGCCAGAUUUUGAAUCUUAUCGCAAAGUUUAACUAAUAAUCCAAACUUCAGUCAAUAGCACAAAAUCAAGCACAUUAGGUCUAAAGGAAAUUGCAACACAUUCUAAGAUCUACUGACAAUUAACAGAGAAAUGAGAACUCACUCAAACCAAUUUCCCAUCAGAAAUCUAGCAAAACCAUAGUCUGGGCUCAAGCCAUAUUAAAAUCGACAUUAGAAUAGAAUGAGAGAGCAAAGAAUUGAACCUGAAGUUUCUUUCAAUUAAUAAAAAUUCCAGCAGUUACACGGACAGAAACAAAGGGACAGUUGCGACCGGAAUUCGACAGACGAUCAAACUUCGAACAGAAACGCGAACCGAAGCACGAACGACACCUCAAAUUCAGUCGAACUUCAUGUUUUUGGAACCAUAUCCGAAAUCAGAAGCAAGAAGCAGAGGUUUUUUUUUUCUUCUUCUUUCUCAAACUAAUUAGCCCGAACAAUCAAAUUUUUGUAUGUGUUUCCGUCGAGUUAAUGGCGGAGAAAAGAGCUGGGGGUGCGGCUCUAGAAUUGUAAGAAUGAGGGGGGUUCGGUUGUUUUUAGAAUGGAGG
rnacentral:lncRNA from 1 species